GCCGCGAUGGCGAAAUUGGUAGACGCACUAGCCUUAGGAGCUAGCGGGGCAACCCAUGAGAGUUCGAGUCUCUCUCGCGGCA
rnacentral:tRNA from 1 species